rnacentral:rRNA from 1 species
AUUGAACGCUGGCGGCAGGCCUAACACAUGCAAGUCGAACGGUAACAGGAAGCAGCUUGCUGCUUCGCUGACGAGUGGCGGACGGGUGAGUAAUGUCUGGGAAACUGCCUGUUGGAGGGGGAUAACUACUGGAAACGGUGGCUAAUACCGCAUAACACCGCAAGACCAAAGAGGGGGACCUUAGGGCCUCUUGCCAUCGGAUGUGCCCAGACGGGAUUAGCUAGUUGGUGGGGUAACGGCCCACCAAGGCGACGAUCCCUAGCUGGUCUGAGAGGAUGACCAGCCACACUGGAACUGAGACACGGCCCAGACUCCUACGGGAGGCAGCAGUGGGGAAUAUUGCACAAUGGGCGCAAGCCUGAUGCAGCCAUGCCGCGUGUAUGAAGAAGGCCUUCGGGUUGUAAAGUACUUUCAGCGGGGAGGAAGGGAGUAAAGUUAAUACCUUGGCUUAUUGACGUUACCCGCAGAAGAAGCACCGGCUAACUCCGUG